rnacentral:rRNA from 1 species
GAUGAACGCUGGCGGCGUGCCUAAUACAUGCAAGUCGAGCGAACAGACGAGGAGCUUGCUCCUCCGACGUUAGCGGCGGACGGGUGAGUAACACGUGGAUAACCUACCUAUAAGACUGGGAUAACUUCGGGAAACCGGAGCUAAUACCGGAUAAUAUAUUGAACCUCAUGGUUCAAUAGUGAAAGACGGUUUUGCUGUCACUUAUAGAUGGAUCCGCGCCGCAUUAGCUAGUUGGUAAUGUAACGGCUUACCAAGGCAACGAUGCGUAGCCGACCUGAGAGGGUGAUCGGCCACACUGGAACUGAGACACGGUCCAGACUCCUACGGGAGGCAGCAGUAGGGAAUCUUCCGCAAAGGGCGAAAGCCUGACGGAGCAACGCCGCGUGAGUGAUGAAGGUCUUCGGAUCGUAAAACUCUGUUAUUAGGGAAGAACAAAUGUGUAAGUAACUAUGCACGUCUUGACGGUACCUAAUCAGAAAGCCACGGCUAACUACGUG